rnacentral:lncRNA from 1 species
AAUACGUUUUCUUUAUUUGCGUAGUUUUGGCACUAAUUUAGCUCCAUACAGGCUACAGUCUUAUAAUACUCACCUCUGAACGACUAAAGAGCUAGCGCUUAGUGAGUUUAGUGGCUAAUACUAAUGUUGCUCCAGUUAGUGGAGUUUGCUUACUCCACAAGCCAUGUUAAUCUUACACAUUCUACAAAUGUUGAAUCUACUUGUCAUCAUACCUUUUUGUUUUGCAGCAAUACUCAGAGGCUGCUCAGCUGUAUGAGAAAGGCCAGUACUACGACAAAGCUGCUUCUGUCUACAUCCGCUGCAAAAACUGGGCGAAGGUUGGAGAGCUACUACCCCAUGUGAGCUCCCCUAAGAUUCACCUGCAGUACGCCAAGGCCAAGGAGGCGGAUGGGAAGUAUAAAGAAGCUGCGAUGGCCUAUGAGAGCGCUCGGGAUUGGGACAACAUGAUCCGGAUCCUCCUGGAACAUCUGAACAACCCGGAGGAGGCCGUCCGGAUCGUCAGGGAAACUCAGUCCAUUGAUGGAGCCAAGAUGGUAGCCAGGUAAGAAAGAGAGAGAAAAGAAAAGGAGGGAGAGUUUGACACAACUCCAGAGAACCACAGUGGGAGCAAUUAUUAUUCACUAAUAGAGAAAACAUCGAACACUGGCAAACUUUCCCAGGAGUGACCAGCCAACCAAAAUUACUCCAAAAGGGCAUGAAGAACUCAUCCAGGAGGUCACAAAAGAAACCCAGAACCACAUUUAAAGAACUGCUGGUCUCACAUGAUUUAAUAAUAAGAAAGAGAUUGGGUGAAAAUGAUAAAUAUUCCUUGGAGUGACGAAAAAAGUGGACAUUUUUGGAAGGUCAUUCGUUUUAGACAAAGAGCAUCAUGCUGAAUGUAAAACAUGGUGGUGGUAGUGUGAUGGUCUGGGGCUGCUUUGCUGCUUCAGGG